rnacentral:tRNA from 1 species
AUUUGAGUAAUUUAUUAAAAAUACAGAUUUGUGGAUUCUGAAAAGCUAUUAAGCCUCAAAUU